UGCUUACACAUGCAAGUCGAGCGGUAAGGCCCCUUCGGGGGUACACGAGCGGCGAACGGGUGAGUAACACGUGAGCAACCUACCCUCAACUUUGGGAUAAGCCUCGGAAACGGGGUCUAAUACCGGAUAAUAUCGAUUGCCUCAUGGUGGUUGGUUGAAAGUUCUGGCGGUUGGGGAUGGGCUCGCGGCCUAUCAGCUUGUUGGUGGGGUAAUGGCCUACCAAGGCGUCGACGGGUAGCCGGCCUGAGAGGGCGACCGGCCACACUGGGACUGAGACACGGCCCAGACUCCUACGGGAGGCAGCAGUGGGGAAUAUUGCGCAAUGGACGAAAGUCUGACGCAGCAACGCCGCGUGAGGGAUGACGGCCUUCGGGUUGUAAACCUCUUUCAGCAGGGACGAAGCGAGAGUGACGGUACCUGCAGAAGAAGGACCGGCCAACUACGUGCCAGCAGCCGCGGUAAUACGUAGGGUCCGAGCGUUGUCCGGAAUUAUUGGGCGUAAAGGGCUCGUAGGCGGUUCGUCACGUCGGGAGUGAAAACUCGGGGCUUAACCCCGAGCCUGCUUCCGAUACGGGCAGACUAGAGGUAGGCAGGGGAGAGCGGAACUCCUGGUGUAGCGGUGGAAUGCGCAGAUAUCAGGAAGAACACCGGUGGCGAAGGCGGCUCUCUGGGCCUUACCUGACGCUGAGGAGCGAAAGCGUGGGUAGCGAACAGGAUUAGAUACCCUGGUAGUCCACGCCGUAAACGUUGGGCGCUAGGUGUGGGGGACAUUCCACGUCCUCCGUGCCGCAGCUAACGCAUUAAGCGCCCCGCCUGGGGAGUACGGCCGCAAGGCUAAAACUCAAAGGAAUUGACGGGGGCCCGCACAAGCGGCGGAGCAUGCGGAUUAAUUCGAUGCAACGCGAAGAACCUUACCUGGGUUUGACAUAUAGGGAAAUC
rnacentral:rRNA from 1 species